AGGCAGCCCCGGCCCCACCCACGCAGUAGUGAAGGGGUUAACUUUCUGUUGUAAACCAAAAUACUGCAGAACCUGGUGCCUGUCUCUGAGAAAUGAGCUGCAAAGCCGGCAGGGAUGGACCAGGCUAGCAGAGUGUCCAGCAGAGUCAGGUGCAAAAGAAAAAGAAUUGGUAGAAGCUGACCCUGGCCCUCAGAGGAGCUUCAGGAGGAGUGGUUGGAUCACAAGUGGGGAGGCCCACAACAGCCUUCAUCCAUGCUGGAAAGCACCUGAGGGCCAGGACCGCCGCUGAGCCAACAGCAGCAGCAGAAGCAGCUGGCUGUUCUCUGGUCUCGGAGAAGACAGGAAGCAGCAAGGUCUGCACUUCCCUGGGCUUCACUGCUGCUGUGCUGCUCCCGGGGUCCGUGAAGACAGGCGCUGGCAAUGGGCUCACUCUCCACGACGCCCAGCCAGGGUUCACUAAGCCCUGGAUCAACUGAGACAGGCGCUGUGCUAGGUGGAGGCUUGGGAGUCUCAGACUCCAUACAUCAUCUGGUCACAGAGCUGUGUCUCCUUGGGCUCCUCCUUUAAAGAGAAGAACGGCUCCAGCCACCAUUUGUGUCACUGUGUGUCCACACAGCUUGAGAAACUCCUCAUACUCCAGAGACUGCAGAAGAAAUUUGUACCCUGAUCUUGGACCUGGGGGCUUGCAGCACAAUUAAAUGUGUCCCAGGGUAGACACGUCAGCCAGAAUCUCUCUCCUCUAUGCAGUGACCACUCUCUCCGGAAAUGGACAGCCAAAAAAGAGGCUGACCGACUUCACACAGCUGAGAAAGGGCGCGGAAGGAAGGCCACAGGGCAAUGACAAAAAGGGGAAUUCAGCCGAGUGUUCUGCU